CAGCCGCCACGGGAAUACGUAGGUGGCAAGCGUUAUCCGGAAUUAUUGGGCGUAAAGCGCGCGUAGGCGGUUUCUUAAGUCUGAUGUGAAAGCCCACGGCUCAACCGUGGAGGGUCAUUGGAAACUGGGAAACUUGAGUGCAGAAGAGGAAAGUGGAAUUCCAUGUGUAGCGGUGAAAUGCGCAGAGAUAUGGAGGAACACCAGUGGCGAAGGCGACUUUCUGGUCUGUAACUGACGCUGAUGUGCGAAAGCGUGGGGAUCAAACAGGAUUAGAUACCCCUGUAGUCCCUGUCUCUUAUAC
rnacentral:rRNA from 1 species